rnacentral:tRNA from 1 species
GCGGGAGUAGCUCAGUUGGUAGAGCGUCAGCCUUCCAAGCUGAACGUCGCCGGUUCGAGCCCGGUCUCCCGCUCCA